AACGAACGCUGGCGGCAGGCUUAACACAUGCAAGUCGAACGCCCCGCAAGGGGAGUGGCAGACGGGUGAGUAACGCGUGGGAACGUGCCCUUCGCUUCGGAAUAGUCCCGGGAAACUGGGUUUAAUACCGGAUACGCCGUAUUGGGAAAGAUUUAUCGGCGAAGGAUCGGCCCGCGUUGGAUUAGCUAGUUGGCGGUGUAGUGGACCACCAAGGCGACGAUCCAUAGCUGGUCUGAGAGGAUGAUCAGCCACACUGGGACUGAGACACGGCCCAGACUCCUACGGGAGGAAGCAGUGGGGAAUCUUGGACAAUGGGCGCAAGCCUGAUCCAGCCAUGCCGCGUGAGUGAAGAAGGCCUUAGGGUUGUAAAACUCUUUCGCCGGAGAAGAUAAUGACGGUAUCCGGAGAAGAAGCCCCGGCCAACUACGUGCCAGCCGCCGCCGUAA
rnacentral:rRNA from 1 species